CCUACGGGAGGCAGCCGUGAGGAAUAUUGGUCAAUGGGCGCGAGCCAGAACCAGCGAAGUAGCAUGAAGGAUGACUGCCCUACGGGUUGUAAACUUAGUUUAUAAAGGAAUAAAGUGAGGAACGUGUGCCUUUUUGUAUGUGCUUUAUGAAUAAGGAACGGGUAACUCCGUGCCAGCCGCCGAUGGAAGACGGAGGCUCCGAGCGUUAUCCGGAUUUAUUGGGUUUAAAGGAAGCGUAGAUGGGUUGUUCAGUAAGUUGUGAAAGUUUGCGGCUCAACCGUAAAAUUGCAAUUGAUACUGGCAGACUUGAGUGUAGAUGAGGUAGGCGGAAUUCGUGGUGUAGCGGUGAAAUGCGUAGAUAUCACGAAGAACUCCGAGUGCGAAGGCAGCCUACUAAGCUGCCACUGACAUUGAUGCUCGAAAGUGUGGGUAUCAAACAGGAUUAGAUACCCCUGUAGUC
rnacentral:rRNA from 1 species